GUGUUUUGUGCUCUGCUGUAAAGCGCGUAAUACGGGCGCAAGACGUUUUUAAAGCGCGGCUGGCUGAACGACUUAUGAACGAACGACGGCUCACUUGACCGCAGUAGGGAACUGGCCAGAUACAUAUUUAUGAGAUAAGCUCGGGGCUCACUGCGUCCCACUACUUCUACUACUACUGUAUGGGGUUCCGAAUGUAAAACGAGCACUUACAACAAGUGUUCUCACAUUUUAAUUAAAUGACACAACAUGCUUUCUCACAUUUAGCUAAAUGUGACAAAGUCUAAAUCUAUAUGUUAAAUGUAAAUAUUAUACCCAAAUGUGAAUAUUAAAUCUAAAGAUAAAAUGUAAAUCUUAAUAAUCUAUCUAAAUGUUAAAUGUAAAUGUUAAAGGUCCAUGCACAUGCAAAAUUCACUUUUUGGACAUUCUGGUACGUUUAUUUGACUCCCUGGUAAGUUAGAAGUACGCCCCCUACUUAUUUUACAUUUUUGAGAGUUUAUCCAAUCCGGUUCAGUAACCAUCGUUUCAAAUUUGGCGGCCUGAAUACGUCUGCAUUCGCGCUGACCAAUCACAGAACCAGCUUCGCCCCCCCCCCAGACAAACCUGGACCCCUAAAUGUACCUGAAACAUUUCGUUUCAGUCACUCCAGUCACAGACAAAAGAAGAAGUGAGAAGUCACUCACUGUGCAGUCUACCAUAGGAGGUGGCGCUAAUGCACCUUUUAGUUGGUUGCCACCCGCCAUUUAAAAGACAAAAAGAAGAAGUCACUCAGGUUGAAGAAGCGCCCACUUGCUGCUUCCCCAAACGCUGACGCAUGCUAGCUACCGAAACGCGAGGAGGUUGCUUCUCAAACUGACACGCGGCUACCAUGUAGAAGAGUAGAAGAGUGCUCACCUCAGGAGCAAAGAUUAUGUGGAAAAUGUGAUGGAGACCAUCUUCAAUAAAGUCCUGCUGGACUCGGGUUGUUCUAUGGAGGACCUUGUAAACAUCCCUGUCCUACCUGCCCUCUGAGCAGAAUUUGAGCAACCUGACAGAAAGGAGAGUGGUGUCAAGGAAAACAGCUGCAUCCUCCAUCUGUACAGCAGCUGCACUGCUUCCGAUGUCUUCCAACACGUGAAGACAAAAAAGAUCCUCACAUCUCCCCAGCCAACUGCCAUUGACUAUACCUGUUCCACUCCAGAAACUAUGCUUUCAACAUAACUAUGAAUCCUACCUGUUCAUUUUGUGGUCUGCAAAUUGAACUGUGACGGUAACUUGUCCAGCAUUAUAGUGCUGGUGCAUUGGUUAAAAAUAAAGUUGGCUUUGACUAUUGCUGUUUCACUGAACUAUUUUUUGUAUGUAUAUACCUAAUGAGGGAAAACAGACAAAUGUUUUAUAAUAUUUCAGCUUUUAUUGAGGUAUUGCCAAAUAAACAAUAAUUUAGGUAUUUUACAGGUGGUCUAAGUCCAACAUAGGUGCCUUGUCCCUCAGGAAACAUUGCCCUGAUCCAGACCAGGGAAGGUGGGAUGACUUGGACUCUUUGCCCUAGAAGUCCCCAGCACCAGCUGA